GAUUCAUGGCGGGACAUUUUGAAAAAAGCGGCUGUGUGGCAGAAGAGAGCAUGAAUUUCACCAACAGGACAAGUACGACAACUAAAAACUACUCACAGACGGGAAUAAAACAAUAAAAUAACAACGAGAGAAGGAUUUAAACAGCGGGCAUGUGUUCUCAAACAAAACUGGGCAUCCUUCUGGUUUUCUUUUCCUGAUAAUUAUUACUGCGUACGAUCGAGAGUAAAAUGAUGGGAACUUCAGGAAGCGAUUUCUAACAUAGGUUUGGUGAUAAUCAGCAAAGAAUUAAUCCGGAGUGGUCCAAGACUUUCAAUAAGAUCGAUUGCCAUCUGUUGCAAGUACACCCUAAGCCACAAUUGGAAAUGGAAUAGAGAUAUAUACACUCGACAAGACUACACAUAACCAUCCAUGCGGCCUGGUCAGCGUAGAAAUUCAUGGAGUAGGAAUUAGUUGUAUAGGAGAAAGUGGCUUGGAACUUGAAAGGCAUCCGCCCAUGCAUCUGCACGCAGCUAUCUGAUGGAGAAUGGCCAUGCAAGUCGACUGACUUCCUCCAUGCACGAAAUGACUCAAUUUUAGUAUGAGAAGGAGUAGGACGUGGAUGGUCGACUUCUGUCGACGAGUAUCCUGAAAAUACCAUGGUGGAAAGUUCUCCCGAUGUAGUCCAUCGUGGUGAGGAGAUCAAGAUCAAGUUGAUCUUCCGCUUGCCUGAGGAACCCUGGGGAGGGAGCAGGGAAGGGAGGGGGGGGGGGGGUUCUAGAGCAUAUAAAGUAAAAAGGGUAUAACAAUUUCCAAACCCAAGAAGUAAUCUCCAACUCUGGAUACGUAAAAAGGGUAUUAUAAAGGCUAGAGAAAACAUGAAAAAUACUUGUUUAGGCGGGUAUCGUUCCUUUGAGAAGGGAUCUAAUGAAGAAUGUUUACUUUAGGGUCAAUUUUGAAAGUCCAUGGACGAGCAUCCAUCCAUCCAUUCCACCAACCAUCCAUCCAUUCACCCAUUUAUUCAUUCAUCUAUCCAUCCACCCAUCCAUCCAUUAAUCUAUCCGUCCAUUCAAGACAGCCAUCCAUCCAUUCAUUAAAGGACAAGUCCACCCCAACAAAAAGUUGAUUUGAAUAAAAAGAGAAAAAUCCAACAAGCAUAACACUGAAAAUUUCAUCAAAAUCGGAUGUAAACUAAGAAAGUUAUGACAUUUUAAAGUUUCGCUUAAUUUCACAAAACAAUUAUAUGCACAUCCUGGCUGGUAUGCAAAUGAGGAGACUAUGACGUCAUCCACUAACUAUUUCUUUUGUAUUUUAUUAUAUGAAAUAUGAAAUGUUCUUAUAUUCUCCUCAUUGUCAAGUGAUACAACAAUUAAUUCCUCUCUGAACUUGUGGAAUUAGCAUUGUUUAAUAUUAUAUGGUUCAGUCAAGUUGGUCCUUAUUGUCAAAUCUGUAAAAAAUAAAAUAUUGUAUAAUUCAAACAAUAACAAACAAAAGAAACAGUGAGUGAUGGAUUGUGCAUUAUCACAUGUUUUGUGAAAAAUAAGCGAAACUUUAAAAUGUCAUAACUUUCUUAUUUUACAUCCGAUUUUGAUGAAAUUUUCAGAACUAUGCUAGUUUGAGUUUUCUCUAUUUAUUCAAGUCAGCAUUUUCCUGGGGUGGACUUGACCUUUAAUAUUCAUGCGUGCUCGCAUACAUGCAUUCAUCUAUCUAUCUAUCUAUCUAUCUAUCCAUCCAUCCAUCCAUCCGUCCGUCCUCCGUCCGUCCAUCGAUUAAUUAAUUCAUGUAUGCUCGCAUACAUACAUUCAUCCGUCCAUCCAUCCAUUUAUUCAUUCAUUUAUCCAUCGAUCCAUCCAUCCAUCCAUUCAUUCAUUCGUUCAUUCACUCACUUAGCCAUUCAUUCAUGCAUUCACUUAGCCAAUCAUUCAUCCAUUCAUUCACUCAGCCAUUCAUUGAUUUGUGUAUGACCACAUUCAUUCUUUUAUUUAUUCAUCCAUCCAUCCAAUCACUCAUUUGUUCAUACGAAUGUCAAAUGAACAAAAAUUGUAAUAUAUAUAUAUUUAUAUUGUAAUUUUUUUAUGUUGUCUGAUAUUGAUUACUUCCUCUCUUUGAGUUAUGUUUAUUCAGUUUACAUCUUUUAGGGUGAUUAUCUUCAUUCACUCUUGGUGCACAGGUUAGAUGCAGAAGUGUAGAAAAUGUGUAGACCAUACAACCUCUCAGAUGCAAAUUCACAUUACAGAUUAAAAAAAAAGACUGCCGGUGAUAAGGCAAAUAUUUCAAUGGACCGUUUUGAAGUGAAUUAAUUUUAUGGAUAUUUCUAUCUCUUUUUUUUUUUUGGGGGGGGGGGGGGAUUGGGGUGCUGGGACUAAGUAACGAUAUAUUUCUGAUAUCUGCUUUUGAUGAAUUAGUCCAUUCUGUACCGACCGCACAGAAACGUUGUAAGUCUAAUAGAACGUUAACAGUAAGCCCAGUCACAUCUUCCGGAUUGUGAAGUCAAAACGCGUAUUUCAAUGUGUAAAGUAUGUAUUGUUGUAACAUUAGGCUAUGCUGCCACAUUACCUGUUGUAACAGGGCCUCUGUGAACGCAUUGUUACCUUAACAACGUUUCUGUGCGGUCAGUACUGGUAAUUAUCACCUGACAAACUUUAAAGUCUUCAAAAAUAAGCUUUAUAGAAUUUGACAAAUAAAAAUGUUUCGUUGUAUGCUUUUGAUUGCUCCCAUCUCCCCGAAGAAUAAAAUACGAUAGUGCUAUUUUACAAGUGCACCUGGUAAAUCCGAA